GUCUCCCUGUUGUGUUCGAGUAAGAAUUUAAUUUCUUGAGCCAACAGUUCGUAAAAGGGGUUGAUGAAUCGGCUGCGGUGUGCAGACCUUCCUCAACGGGUAGGAAGCCUAAAGCAGUUCACGGAUACCCCACCUGUCCUUGACAGGUUCAAAAAAUAGUUUUUGCACGGCAUUACGGGGGGACU
rnacentral:other from 1 species